rnacentral:rRNA from 1 species
AAUAGAUACCCAGGUAGUCCACGCCGUAAACGGUGGGCACUAGGUGUGGGCAACAUUCCACGUUGUCCGUGCCGCAGCUAACGCAUUAAGUGCCCCGCCUGGGGAGUACGGCCGCAAGGCUAAAACUCAAAAGAAUUGACGGGGGCCCGCACAAGCGGCGGAGCAUGUGGCUUAAUUCGACGCAACGCGAAGAACCUUACCAAGGCUUGACAUACACCGGAAACGUCCAGAGAUGGGCGCCCCCUUGUGGUCGGUGUACAGGUGGUGCAUGGCUGUCGUCAGCUCGUGUCGUGAGAUGUUGGGUUAAGUCCCGCAACGAGCGCAACCCUUGUCCCGUGUUGCCAGCAGGCCCUUGUGGUGCUGGGGACUCACGGGAGACCGCCGGGGUCAACUCGGAGGAAGGUGGGGACGACGUCAAGUCAUCAUGCCCCUUAUGUCUUGGGCUGCACACGUGCUACAAUGGCCGGUACAAUGAGCUGCGAUACCGCGAGGUGGAGCGAAUCUCAAAAAGCCGGUCUCAGUUCGGAUUGGGGU